rnacentral:rRNA from 1 species
UACGGGGGGAGCAAGCGUUGUUCGGAUUUACUGGGCGUAAAGGGCGCGUAGGCGGGCUGUCAAGUCUGGGGUGAAAUCCCGCGGCUCAACCGUGGAACUGCCUUAGAUACUGACGGCCUCGAGGAAGGUAGGGGCAUGCGGAACUGUAGGUGGAGCGGUGAAAUGCGUUGAUAUCUACAGGAACUCCGGUGGCGAAAGCGGCGCGCUGGACCUUUUCUGACGCUGAGGCGCGAAAGCUAGGGGAGCAAACGGG